rnacentral:lncRNA from 1 species
CCGUAUUUUAUCUUAUGUAGAAUCAAGAGGUUACGUACAAAGCACGACGAGUACACACCUGGUCUCUGCAAGAUUAGAAUGCACACAAUCAACACUAACGCACACACUCAAAGUAUCACACCGGCAAAAAUCAAAGUCCAAAGCUCUACCUAGAUAGAGGGAAAAAAAAGAAAAAUGAAAAAAGUAACAAUGAUUCAGGCCAAACAAUUGUCGACGCAACAAAGAUGUUUAAGUGCACACAAGUGGAACAUGGACACAACCAUACAAACUGAAAAUUGUGCAAACAUGAAGUAGACAGUCCAACCAUAGAGAGGCGUCUUUGGAGCCAAGAGCAUCCAUCAACGCAUAUAUUACAUAGGUCACGGUAAACUGACGAGAGAAGGGACCACCAACAUACCCCACCGGAAACGCUUCGACGAUCUCAUGCCUACAUCGCGAGUGUACAUCGAUUGUAAAUCUGGACAUGGCAACCUGCCCCCAGACGAUACGCCAUGAGCCAUCACUUCAUCACUGUCGCCACUUUCUGUCGCCACCAACUCCGUCGAGCAUGUGCCUCAAUGGCUCGGCCAUCUACAUCGUCAACCUGCAUACCGGCACAGUCGACGCACACCAGCUCCACGAUGGAUUGCUGCUACCCAGCGCCAAGCAUUGUCUCCAUGCCUCAGCCACCCAAAACAAGGCACUGAGGUGACAGGGAAGCCACACAUCGAUAGUGUAUACUAUGGUGGCAAUCCAGGCAUAAUACAACAUGUGUCUUCUUUCUGGCGUCAUGCUUUGGUUGGAUACCAUUUCUUGGAAGUUCAAUGCAUUCGACAUAUAAAGUUCAAUUUGCGGCGGUGAUUUCUUCCCCUCCACGACUCCAUGUGCAACUUUCUCUUGGCCUAUCCUUGUUGUUUGUAUAAAGCUCCCUGGAAACCACCUACAAGUUUGUGCAUUAGCUGCAUACAUUCAAAGACAGAGCCUGCUUCGCUCUUUCUUACAAGUAGAGAUAAAUGAGCAUCAAACGGUUGCAAGCACUUGGUAGCAUAAUUUCUUUGAAAUUCUAGUGUACCUCUGUUUUAUUUGCAACAAGCUACUUCAAAAGUACAAAACUCGCACUAAUAGACAUGGCAGGUAGCUUAGCUUCGCUGGCUAGCCUACCAAUACUAAGAAAUAGAUGAUGCCUCGUUCUCGGCCGCGCAAACCAGGCUACAACAAAUGCAUAAACAUGUGCUUAGAAACAACAAAAACUAAUGAAAAAUAAACAAAUGCAAGAGUGUUCUUGCUUUACAUUAAAAACAAUAAAAAAAUAUGAAGCAUGUAACAAAAUGAUGUAUAAAAUAGAAACAUUGAAUUGAAUUUAACGUGACGCCGAGUUAUAACAAACAUGUGAAGCUUGAACUAUAGUUUUUUGCUUCAAGUGUUCAACACAUCUAUCAUUCAUUACCAAAAAUAGCAUGACUCGAUUCCCCUGGAAAAAACACAUACAUGGCUUGAUGAGGUGGUAUGGUGUGCAUAUGAGUAUGUGCUUGAUUUUUUAUGCCGUACAAAUUCAACCGGAUGACUAUCAUUGAUUGAGAUGAAGUGAAAGCACGCAUGCGUAGAAAUUUAGUAGUGAAGACUGGCUAUUUAGAUAUAGAAUGCCCCAUAUUUUUAGCACAUGAUAUUGUACGCAAAAUAAUAUGGACCGUCAUUGAGCUAAUGCCCGAUCUUUGCAUAACAAGAUGCACAUAACCAUCACAUUCAUAAAGAGUUGAAAAUGCCUUACUAGAAAGGUAAAAAUAGAGCUUAUACAACCAUCUUACAAGGCCCUUACUUUCACAAAACAACGAAUCCAUAUAACCGGCUAGAAACAAGACACAGAUAUGUGCAUCCAAGCGAAUCACGACUGCAUAUGUCACUUUAGUAUGGUCUUUGGAAACAUGCGUCUUAGUCAUUAUAUAUGCAGUUACACAAUGAAUGAACUGAUUGAUUGAAUUUUAGCAAACCUAGAUAUGUAGAUCAAGCAGAAUCUACUAAGUUACUAAGCUCCCUAGAAAUGAUGGGUUGUUGUGGCUCAAGGCUCCGUGGAUGGUUUGUCGGGCCCGUUUGUAAGAGUGUUCUUCAUUGGCCGAGAGCUUAUGGGCUUACUCGCAUGUAAUCAUGGUGUUCAUGUUGGGCUCACGUAAACACCACCAGUAGAUCGCUGUGAAGUGUAACAACAUCAGAGUGAUAUACCCAACACCUCUCUUCAGUCUUCACCAUGAAGACCAUACCACCUCCACCAAGUAAGACCAUAGUGACAACAAGAAACAACACAACCAUACAACCUAGCAUAGGUGGAACUCAUCUUGGGCAUAACACGUGAAACCCGAACCCCAAACCCUAACCAGUACUACCAGAACUCAAAAAAUCCAUGCACCUAUUUGGGUAGUAACUCCAGAAAACCGAAUUUUAUUCAGAAAAUUCGGGUUCAUACCCCGGUACUCGAUCUACCCGAAGUUAAUGGGAAAUGUUAGCCCAACCCUGCAAAUUAAGGCCCAACACCACACUAUGCCGCAACCCAUGUCCUCUUCAAUGCCACACACUCUCCCAACCCAUGUGUUGGUGUGCCCACAUCCAAUCUCUCACGCACAGAGGCACACACAUCCAUUCGCAAGAUCCAAACCUCCAGCUUCUGACCUAGCCGCCGCCUCCCUCACAUCCCAUGUCUUUGCCUGAUAGCGGCAAGGGGCAGCAUCGUGCCAACCGCCUCCCUCAACAGCGUGUAGAGGUGACGCAUGAGCCAUCUCCCUCGAUGGCGUGCAGUGGUGAGACACCAUGCUGGCCGCCUCCCACGAUAGCGUGUAGUGGCGAGGCACCGCGCCGGCCACCUGUUUCGCAUCCCAUCUUCCCCGCCCCAGAGCGGCAAGGGGCAGCAUUGUGCCGGCUACCUACCUCAACAGCUUGUAGUGGUGCAGCUUCGCUUUGGCGCCUCCCUCGUCAUUGUGCGUGUCGCGUCGGCGCCUCCCUUAUCAGCAUGUGUGUCGCCUGUUGCAUCGCCUCAACAAGAUGCAAUUCGGGAUUACAUGAACCCGACCCCGAAUUUCCGGGUCGCAAAAACUCGGGCAAGUCCGGGUUUUAUUUUUGAAAACAUGAUUUUUUUUAUAACCUGAAUUACACGACCCGAAUUUUUGGUAAACCCGAACGCCGAGGCUAAGGUAAAACUUACAGCUAGCCAACCGCAAUAGACCGUGUGAAAAAAAUUAACUUACAACUAAAGAACGGCAUGAAAGUCGCGUGUCACACUCUAGCCCUGCUUCAAAAUUGCGACUAGCUAGCGUGGAACAGAGCAGCUAGGCUGGCGUCUGCUUGGCUUAGUAGAUUAUGUGGAUAAGCUAUAUAAUUUGAUUUCCGACCAAUAUGGUCGUGUUUCGUUGUAAACCAUUUUGUUUUCAUUGACUUGGACUUCUUUUAUUUAAUAAAAUGAUUGUGUGCAUCUUAGAUGCAGAGAUCCGGGUCAUCUUGUUGUAAAAGAAAAGAAAAGAGCUGUUCCGGUCCGAGUUUCCGGUCGAGUUGUCGCCAUCUAGGCUAUGAAACAAUGAGUGAGGCUAUUUGGCUCCCGAGCUCAUCGGCUCCCAUGGUGAACAGCAAAUUAAAAAAAAAUUAGAAAAUAAAAAUAUCCUUUUUUGCGUGGAGGAUGCUUAGGUGCCUGAGGUCCGCUCAAAAUUUUAGCUCAUCUUGACAACUGAGUAGCCCUCGGAAAAAAAGACAAAUUUGGGGUAUGUGAAACAGUUUACUCUUGAUCUGCUGUUCUGACUCAAUUUAUAUUAUUUAGUGAGAGCUACUCAUAUUCAAAGUUUUAAAAACCAGACCGGACCGACGGUCAGGCCAGAAGAAACCAAAACCUGCGAUCCUGACAGUUUUCUAAAUGCAGGGGAUUGAUUGAGCAAUCAAGCCGAAAAAACCCGAUGAACCGGGUGGUUCACAAAAAACCGGUCGGUUCGAUAUCGUUUCUAGAAAACCCCUCAAUCAACUCGUUUUCGUGCGAACAAGCUGGAUGUAGAAUCGGAAAAGGAAGAAAAACCCUCUUUUAGUAGGGUUUCAACCAUUUUAGGAGCAUUUCUCUCGAUUUUAUCCACGGACAAAUCCUAUCGGGGGCCAGCGCCUCCUCCGGUGCAACCCCUACUUGGCACCAUGGCGUGGCGAUGUCACUUCUCCCUCGCCGCACUACAUGGCAGCACCAGGUCACCAGCCCGCACCGGCACUCCCGUGUACCGCCAUCCGCACCACCUCUAUUGACAGUUGGGGACAGGGGCUACCGCCACCUGGUCAGACUGGUACAUACAACUUCGAUCUCCCUCCGCUCCAGUCAAAUCGACCAGGCUUCCCUCCGGUUGCCUCCUUCUAUUCCGGAGUCCAGACCAGGAGCAACCGAGUAGGAGGUCCAAGACGCCCGACGGUCACCUCCGAUUACAUAUUUAUUAUCUAUUGAUUCGUGCAUUUAUUGAUAAAAUAUGUGUUAUUUUAUUACUUAAAAUAUCGACAAUCGAACUGGUGAAUCGGCGGUCCGACCGGUAAAAACCUGAACCGGUAGCCUCGGCGAUUCGAUUACCGGUUCGAUUUUAAACUGUGCUCAUAUGCAAAUGAUCUUAAAUUUGAAGCGGACCUCACACACCAAAUCGUCUUCCAUGCAAAAAGGAAAUCAGAAUUUUUUAAUUUUUUUAAAUUUUCACUUAACCAGGUGCAGAUGAGUCUGGACACAGAAAUGGAUAUUCGGUCAAACAAUCUGCAUUUUUAACGGACUUAUAUGGAUUUAUCUAUCUCUUUGCUGGGUGGAGUAGCUACUGUUUGGGUUGGCGGUUCAUGAAUGGUGGGGAGGCAUGGCCGGCCGCAAGUGGGGGCGUGUCGCCUCAGAUCUGUGCCCAUCGGAACAGCUGGUCGCCUGCGCCGUCACACAAAAUACGUCGCCGGCCGAAGAGCCGCACGUACGGCCGGCCGAAGAGAAGAAGAAUCGUUGGCUGGCUUGCAAGUCUCUGGCCGGUGGAAGUUGUGCUUUACCUUGGUCGCGAGCCAUGGCGCCAUUUUCCACGCGCGCAUGACCCGGCAGAGCAGGCGAUCGAGCAAGGCGUACGUGCAGAUCAGAUUUCCUGGCACGAUAUGGAUCGGAUCGAGCAAGGCGUACGUGCAGAUCAGAUUUCCUGACACGAUAUGGAUCGGAUCGGAUCAGCAUCCUGACUGAUAGCAUGCAAAGUGGCAGCAUCUGUACACACUGUACUGCGUAUGGCUGGAGCCAGGCGGCAAGUGCAAUGGAAAUCAUUUGUAUCCGA